rnacentral:lncRNA from 1 species
GCGCCCUGUGCGCUGUGCCGGCUCCGUUAACCCUUCGGAGCGCCCAGCUCCCCGCCGGCCUUGGCCGCUCUCUGCGUGGCGCUGCCUGCCCUGUGCAUCCCAGCGGGCAGCACUGCCCAACCAAAGCUUCUUCCUCCCCCAGGACCCCUGGCCGUGCAAGGCAGCUCCGCACACCACUCCCUGUACAGCCAGGGCUGCUGGGCUCCGAGCCGGAGCGCAUCACCGCCGUGUCGGGGGCUGAUCCUCGUGUCCGGGAAUGAACCCCUGCGCUUUGAAAGAAAGAAAGCGAUACUUGGCUGCAUGAAGGGGUAUUCAGGGAACUAACGCUCACAGGAUGUUUCUGAAAUGCUGUAGGCUCCUGGUUGUACGCGAGUACUUAAGGAUGACAGCAGCCCUGUUCAGCUCUCUGAUGAAGGAUGGCUCCCGAGAUGUGUGCGCAGCGGGUGACCCCGCACCAGCCCUCGUACUGCAGCCCACACGAAGGCCUGCCCACUCAGCACAGCGCAGGUCACAGGCAAGCAGCAGCAAAGGAGAAGCUGAUGGAACAAAGGGGUCCUACAGUUAUCCAAGUAACAGAUGGAGGAGUGUGGUAAAGGCUGUUUUUAUUGUUAUUUGACUGUACUAAAUAGUUAUAUUUGCAGAAUAUCACAUCUCUUGGGGCUUUUCUAACACUGCGGUUUGGAUGUGCUGCACUCACACCUAACUAGCUGUCUGCGCGCCAGGGACAUUUUUUUUCCCCUUUAUAAAUGACAAUAUUUUGAUUUCACACCAUAGUUAUAUCAGUAUUCCAUUCUCCUGGGGUCCCCUUAACGUGAUGACAAUUGCGAUAUUAGUUCAGGCUGCUAAUCCCAGAGCUCCAAUAUUUUAGCAUCCCCAAUCCCAUCAGAAUCAUAGUCUUCCAAGAAUAUAUUGUUGCAUUUAUCUUCGUAUGCAUCCCGCAAAUCAAGCUGAUGAGCAUCCGAGCCGUAGUCAGACUCUCAAACGGCCUCGGAACGUUCUGGGUGCAUUCUGCAGCCCUUCCCAUGCAGCAAUGCGCAGGGAGGUGAGAAGCACACACUGUGGUGUCCUGCCGUGCUGGGGCUGCAGGAUUGCGAGCGCUGCUGCCUCCUUUCCUCCAUUUUUGUGGUUUUAAUGAACAUAAAAGGUAAAUUCCUGUGAUAAACACAUGUGUUUCUUAUAGGAAAAUAUUGUCCCCUGUGAAGUAUAUGCAGAAGCUCCACCUCCAUGGCUGAUAGUAAUUCCUCUCCAUGAGCAAUGCAAGCCCUUGUGAGGGAAAUACACCUGUAAGGCACAGGUGAAGGAAAUCAAGGAGAGAUUGUAGGCCUGAAAGGUCAGCUGAUGGCAAAUGAGUACCAGGCUUGGGUAAUAAAAGAAAGGAUGUGGGUAGGGAGAGGGUACUG